rnacentral:lncRNA from 1 species
UAUGCCUCACCCCCCUGGGGGGGCUGGGGAGCCUGGGCACGGGGGCAUGUCUGGGCUGCAAGAUAGGCAUCGGUAUCCACAGAAUUGGCCCGCAAACACCCCAGCCCCCUCCGCCCCAUCCCGGAUGUCGGAAAAUUUCCCGGGACACGGUGGGCCCACCGGGGCCCAUUUUCGGAAAAAUUCAAAAAUGGAGCAUGGGCAUCGCCCUUGCUUUAGGCAUACAUGGGGCUUUAUUUUCUUAUUGUAGGUGAGGCAUCGAGGUGUUGUGUAGCCUAUAAUAGCCCCAGUCGGAACUGACGCGGGCCCGAAUAUGAAUUGACGGAAUUUUAUGCGGCUGUGAUGGCCGUAGAGGGCGAGGCCGAGAC